CCUAGAUGAAGUGGGGUGGAUGUUGAUAUCUGGAAAGGGGGCCAGUGCCAAGCAGCCUGGGGAAAACAGUAGUCAGGCACUCUUGACUUCCAGGAGGGUGGUUGUGUGUGUGUGCAAAAGCCACAAUUUUGGAGCUGAUUUUCAGAAUUUUUGGAGUAAAAUUAGAACGCCUGGAGUCAAAGCGUGAUUUCCCAUUUCAUGAACACACUUGAACUUGUAUCACACACAUACACACCCACCCGCACACCCACUAAGCCAGACUGUGAAGCUCACCAUUUCAUACUUGGCUGCAAGAGACUGCAAGAUGUGUGUGGCUGGUGGGUGCAGGUCUGUGCCUCCUCAUAGGCGAGCAGAGACCCACAAAUUUGAGCCGGCCUUGGUAGCCAGCCAGAAUUUGCACUUGCCACUCGCUUUACUUCUCCUUGUAAUGGGGGAGAAAUGUCCCGCUGAGCUCUGGAGGCUUUUUCAGAACGAAUAAAUACCAAAGGGACAAGCCUUCUCUCAAA